AUGCUUGGAAGAACAGUCCCAGGAAAGCUUAAGCAUGAUGUGAAAAGAAGCAAGACACUGGAGAGGGGAAAGUUGGAGGUGAUCAGCGUUGGAAAAAGCUGGCAUGGAGUGAAAUCGGAUGGCCAAAUGGGAUGGGCAGGACCUCCAGCAUGCCCUACAUCAGAGGGAGCCCUGGAUGGCCACACACAGCAUCCUCUGGAAAUCACAGCAUCAGUCGCUGCUGAUGCUCAACCCAGAUGGCCAGCAAACCCCAUUGAUCAAGAGGCUGUGUCCUACAAAAGGGAGAAAUAGGUCAGCAGAUACGGUAAUCCCAGCUUGAUCUAAAGUCUUCGGGACAGGUGGCAACCUUCAUUUAAUGGAACAAUGAGAUCAUUAGGAAUUCAUAAUGAACUGUACCGUGGCCAUGGAAGUAGGUCACACUUACCCCAGGAAGACAUCAAAAUGAGUCUGUCCCCAUUCGUAUGCAGCAGCAGAGAUGGCUAUGGGCAGACUGAUAGCUCUGCCUUGGGAUUUGCUCACCAGACAGUUUUAGGGAGGGGCAAAUGCAAUGGAUGUAAAAUGGUUUACAUUGUCCCAAAUGAGAAGAGGACUUAAAACAUGGGUAGAUUCAUUUGGAGGUGUUGUGUCUUGUUGGCCAUGCGCGUAGCUCUGCUGUCGUGGGUGAGAUGGCAAGAGGAUGGUCAGCUUGGGAAGAAGCAUUUCCCAAAUGAGUCCCAGAUCAGGGUCAGUAACCACCCAGGAGGACAGAGAAGAGCUCUGCAGUCCUGCCAAGGUCCCUGGGAUUGAAAGUCAAAUAUGCUGCGUGUUAGUUAGCUGUUUUUCUCCAUGGACUUUUUCCUGCUCCUGUUGACCCCUGCAGGUGAGAACCAAGUGCUUGUGAUAGGUCUGUGAAUUUGAAAAGCUCCUUUUCUUCCCUCCAUUUCCUUCUGCCCCCAAACUUUGACAUUCUUACAGUCCUAUGUAACUCUGUUAGCCACCAAGAAGGCAGGCUGCUGCCCUGCAGGAGGAGAGCAGGCAAGCCGGGCAACAGGGAGGCGAGAGCUUCCUUCCCUGCUCAGCUAGCAAGAGCCCCAGGGUUGAAGAUAUGAAAGGGUAAGAAAAUAUUUUGCCAAAGAUGUAAUAAGUGGUAGUGGGGCUUUGAGGGUAUUUUAUUUUAUUUUAUUUUAGGUGGAUUUGAAGGAAGCCUUUUAAAAAUAUUUAAACACAAG
rnacentral:lncRNA from 1 species